AAGGGAAUAACACUCGAAAUGUAUAUAAGAAAUACUCAAGUUAAUAAAAAAAAUAAGCAACAAAAUUACAUAAUAUAAGGCUAUUAGCCAUUCUUAAUAUCACUCUAUGGGCUCUCUAAAAUUAUAAGCUAGCUCACGAAAUGAAAACUCAAAAUCAAUCCUCUAAAUCUAUCUUGAAAUGGCAGCUGGAGUAAACAGACUGGCUGUAAUGUUCUCACAAGUUCUAAAACCUCAUCAAUCUUUCAUAAAUCUUGUAACAAUCUCUACCUGUUUGAUUUUUUCUUAAUUAAAAUAAGUUUGAGUUAGUCAAUGUAACAUUGGCAAUCCUUAAUCACAAUCUUUAAGUUCUCCUUGUGACACCAGAGCACAACCAUAAGGUCACCUGAGUUCUGAGUACCUGACUAGGCAGCUGUUCUUGGGGCAGUGGAAUUAGCAUCAAAAUACAGAUAGCUUCAGGGCAAACCACGACUAGGAAAGCAAAACUCGACCUCCAACAAUCUAGUACAAAGUUUGACUGCCAAUUCCUACAUAUGAACGCACGAUGGUGUAGUCUCCAGUACCUCAACAAAGAGACAUUGUCCUAAAUUCUUUUAGAAGCCUGGUUUCUAGGAUAAGAAUUCCAUAAAAAUAUUACCUCAAUUUAGACCUGUUUCCCUAGGUUGGCUCAUGCCACAUGUUGUCUAGAAUGACUCUAUACAAAUUACCAGCUUUAUGUCAACUUUCUGUUACCAAUAUUAUACCUUUUUAACCAUAUCCAAUAACUAAAAAGCCAACAAUCUAUGACCAAGGCAAGUAGAGCAUAUUUACACAUUUAAAACCAAUCAGAAACAAAAUUGAAGUGGCUACACAUAUCUUUAAUAUUUAGACCAAACACCAUUUUUACCUUUUUAGCUAUGAUUUUAAGAGAAGCACCUUGUCACCUGUUGAGUCAAAUAAUAAGUCAGGGAUAUCUCUAAGAGAAACAGCUGUCAGCUCUUGUAUCAAAGAAGCUGAGAAGCUGCUGGCGCCUUUAAGAUCAGCUCGUGCAGACGCUUAGCUCCUGGGCAGCUUCUCCAGCUGACCCAGACUCCUGACUGCAGGUGCAGGGCUCUAAAGGCCUGAUUGAAACUGUUUUUUAUUCAUUUGUCCCUUUUUGAAACGAGUUAAAACCAAAUCAAGAUGUAAACAACCAGCAGAUAAAGUUUUUUACCAUUUUUUCUUUUGAACAUGAAACAUAAAACAUUUAAACAACAAGAAGCAAGAACCACAGACAUAAACUGACAGACAUGGGGACAUCCUGGUGCACCAAGAACAGACAAUAGACAAAGAGGGAAAAAACCAGAUGGUGUUCACGGUGACUAUCCACUCGAGUGGAGUCGAUAUGGACGAUGGAUUGUCUCAAUUCCUGGACUAGUCCAUCAACGUGUUGAAACCCAAUUCCUGUAAGAUACUGAGAUAUAUUACAGGAUAUCUGAGCAGCACAACUGACGUUCACAAAUGGUAUGGAAGUGAAACACAGUCCUGAGUAUUUUCACUCACAACCCAAUUACAUUAACUCCAUCAAGCUGUGCAUGGGCAUUGAGAUGUCCUUUUGUUUGAUUCUCCUGAAUAAAUUUUCAGGCGGUCUGCCUCUAUCAAGUCUAAUCAGUAUGACUCUGCAAAGCUUCCAGAGCCUAAUCACACCUUUUACAAGUACAAAGACAAAAUUUUUCUCCCAAAAUACUGUGUUCCUUUUAUCUCCUCCCUUUUUCUCUCCCGGGGCGUUUUUUCCCCAAUCUUUCGCUUCCCCGGAUCCAAGGUCCUUGGAAGGGCUUUUUUUCUUAAGUGCACCUUUCCUUAUUAAAGCUUCUAAUCUUUCACCAGCUCUGUUUCUGACAUGCUGCCUUGCCCUUCCCCCAACGCUCUCCGCUUUGCUGUUACAACUGGGCGGCUCCCAUGCGACCUCUGACGCCGUCUGACGGUAGAUAGAAGCUCAAAGGCCAAUAGAGAAAACCCGAGGGCUGCUACCAUAGAGGCUUCCGCCGCAUCUAGCAGAGGAGUGAGGUGGAACAGAUCAAGGCUAAACAUCGUCUCUCAGAGUCUCGCCCGCGUUCCGCAGCUUCUGGAUUCUUUCCGUGAAUGGAGGCUCUUCUUCGGCGCCGGCGAUGAUGAGGCGUUUAUCCCGGGUUCUCGGCACCAAAUGUCCCUCGUGCGACCUCGCCAGCAAGAAAACACGCGGGGACAUGCAGAUCCUUGCUACAGCCAAAACUUUUAUUCAAUCUUAAGGAGAAGCCCCGCGCGCCCGCAUGGCGCGGCUUAUAUACACCCUAGCGCGGCGCAUCCACACCUGAUUGGUCGCUUACCCAUGGUCUCAUAAGGCACACCCUGGAGUGGGCAAAGACCUGGCAUGAAGGCACUCUUGCACAUGUGCACACAGUUAACUUCCUGAAAGGAAGUUGGCUGGCGUGGCGGAGGCCAGCGCCAUCUUGUAAUGGCGGAAGCUAUCCUGGCCUUCCACGUGGGGCGUAGUGGAAGUGAGCGCCAUCUUGUGGUGGCGAAUGUUAUAGCUGCCCUCUUCAGCUUACUACAUUGGAACCUGAAGUGGUCACCAUCUGUAGCUACACAGGAACCUGAGUGCAUCAAUAGAGAUACCAACCCACCGACAAAAAGUUCAACCCGAAAUGUAUCCUGUCUACAAGUAAUGCAGGCACGGAGGAGUAAGCAAAGACUGAGGGAAUGGCCAAACAAGGAGCAGCCCAACUUGAGGCCCAUCCCAUGGGCAGGCAAGAAUCCCUAACACUGUGAAUGAUCCUGUGUUAUGCUUGUAGAUGGGAGCAUGUUGUUCUCUGUUAGGCAGCACCUAGCAGCUUACUCAAAUAGACACCCACAGCCAAAUGGCAGACAGAGCUUAGAGCCUUUUAAGGAAAAAUAGGGGAAGAUUUCAAGCCCUAAAGGGGAUAGGAGCUCCACAGGAAGACCAACAGAGUCAACUCAUCUGGACUCUUGGAUCUCUCAGAGACUGAACCACAAACCAAAGAACAUAUACAGGCUGUACCUAGGCUUCCCUGCCCAGAUGUACCAGAUGGGCAACUUGAUCUUCAUGUGGGUCCUAAAAUAAUGGAGCAUGAGCUAUCCCAAAAGCUGUUGCUAGUGAGUGGGACAUGUUCUACUAGCUGGGCUGCUUUGUCUGGCCUCAGUGGGAGAAACAUGAAGCCUCAAAGAGACUUGAAGUGCCAUUGAGGGGGGGAUACAAGCACUCAGUGCUCAGAGGAGAAGGGGAGAGGGAAAGGAUUAUGGGAGGGGUUAACCAAGAGGAGGGGCAGUGAGUGGGGUAUAAAGUGAAUAAGUAACAAACAAUAAAAUUAAAUUUAAAAAAAGAUUCCAACAUAGCUUUCAUUUAUACUCAGCUGGAUGUGAUCAGAUUCUAUGAAACCGAGAGCCAACCUGUACGCAGGAUGAAGGUCACCACACAGCAUCUGGAGAAUUUUCCAAUGGCUUCUUCCAUACAAAUGUUUUUUAGCACUGAUUUCACAUUUUCCAACAACACACCACAUAACCAUUGAGCAUCAUAAUAACUAGUUUGCCAGACAAAUGAUUUAUAGUUCCUAUUGCCCACAGGCUUAUAACAUGGGAGUUCCUAUUUCUUUCUUUGAGACCCUGAGGGAUAGUUCCAGAUAACUUAUCACCUACUUCUGGCAUAAUAUACACAGCAUUUUAUACAAAGCCUUUGACCUGCGAUAAAGAAUAAAGGCUGAUCCUGUAAUGUGGUGGCUACUACAUGAUUCAUUCAGCCAACACAUGCCUGUGCAUGCUUAUUCUAGACACAACCAAUGCAGAGGGAUCAUCCUCCUGUCACAAAAUGUAAAAGACGACCCAGAUGUCCUCUAUAAAUCCAUUUUAGGAACCAGUCAUUUUAGUCCAGGUGUGAAACUGAAGAAUACCCAGCUGUUUUCUUUAUGGAAAAAUAAAUGACCAACAUGAGGAAUGAGGGACUUUUGUCAUCUGCGUAGAGCAUUAACUUUAGCAUCACAUAUGUGUGACAAGGAGUAUCUUCAACACUGAACUGCAGUAAGAAUAGGAUGCAUUUGGGUGUGCUCUGUUUGGAUAAGAGUGUGGCAUCAACACAGGAUUCCAUGACAGCUUCACCACCUUAUAUUGAAAACUGAGGACUCAGUCAGCUGCCAAAGCCUCUGGUAGAGUGACGCUUUCCCAACAACCUACCUUCCAUAUUGUUGUGUCCUUUACUGGGGUUACUUGUUGAGGGUCAGAAUUCUGAGUAAUUCAUGUACCUCGAGUUAUGUAUCUGAAACUAAUUUUCUUUCCCCAUGGAGUAGUUAGCCAACAGACAAUGGAUGAGAUUCCGGCUGCAUUACCAGACCUCAGUUGGUAUUUGCCUCACUGAUGAAUUCACAUCUACAAAAAGGUAUCUUUUUCAGAGGAGUCUUUGACCCUAGUUCCAAGAAUAUUGUGUUCAAGUUGUCAGGGCAUUCUUUGCCCCUUUACAGUUCUUUCAACGGUGCUGUCAGAGAAGAAAAGGCAAUCAGACCAGAAGCACUGUGGAUGGGUCAGAGUCUAGGCAAAAUCAAGGCCUAUUCACAAAUAGGAAAAUAAGUAAAAGAAGAAAAGAUUGGCAUGGUUACAGGGAUGAGAAGCAAUGGUGGUUCACUUGCUUUGCACACUCAGUGUUCCUGGUGUACAGUGCUGUCUGAGGGAGCUCUCGUCCUGGUCUGUGCCCUGCUUGAACUUCUGCUAGAGUAUUUCUGCCCUAGGAGAGGAAGAGAAAAAGAGAAAUCUGCCAUUUCAGCUAUCCAGCAAACACCAGCUUGAUUAAGCAGGACAAUCCAGUAUGACCUUUCUAGCUUUAGACAGAGAACAUAUGGAAAGGUUUCCACUGUGUCACGGGAGAGGCUCCUGGAAAGGGCACCCCAGAAUCUGGUCACUGUAAGGAAAGCUGGUUAGCAGGUAGCCAUGGCAGUUCCCAGUGACGUCAUCAAUAGACACUUCCCUGCACAAUCUCUUGUACCCAGGAGAGCCCUAGCAUCUUCUGUGAUGUCACAAGUACUGUGAUGGCACCAACUACCUGUGGGAUGUUUCUUCAGUGCCUCCAGGCUUCACUAAUCAACCUGUUAUCCAGGCUAAGCAGGCCAUUUGGGAGAAAGAACAAAGAGCAUGAAGGGAUUAGAGAUGGGGAGAAGGAAGCUGGCCUUCUGUAUUGUUGUAAAAAAGGAAGAAAUAAAUGGUGCUUGGGAAAGCUCAGUGAGUCGUGGGCAAGGGGAGAGGAGGUUCCUUGAGCUGAGCCUUCCAGGUGUGGAAAUCAGGAGCAGGGAGCCUCUAAGAAGCAACUGAACUUCAUUGCUUAUUAUAGUUCUCGGAAGCCAGAGACUUUCUCUACUCCAGAAGCCAGUUGUUGGGAAGGGCACCACUGUUUUCCUGAGACCUAAUGGCUUUUACUCCUUUUGCCUAGAAGACAAAGGUCCUUGGGAAGAAGGGAGAGACUAGUGUGCUGUCCUAAUCUCAGGGCUGACUGCUCCCCAAUUGCACUGGUGCAGUUUGUGUCUGACACUAAUAUCUGGGAGAGAGAAGUACUUCUAGAUGAGACCUCAUCAUCUCAGGCAUUCCACUAGAGUUAUUCUGACUACCAUUCCUUGACAGUGCCCCCCUUAGGUUUCUGAGUCAACACAUGUGUCAGAAAGUUUUCUAGUGCAGUGAAGAACUGUUAGUCAGUGAACCAGAACAGGGACUGUCUCCUUCCUGACUACAAUGGUUGUCCUGAGCAGUCAGUGAGGGAAACUAAAUGACCAUGUUCUACCCCUACAAGACAUCUAUAUCUAUAGUCCUGGGGUCUGUAGAGAUCUAUCCAUGACUCUGGGCAUCUCCAUAGCAACUGAGUGCUGAUGGAGUUUGUAGUUUUCAUCCUGGCUUCUGUAAUUACAGGCGAUGGUGUUCUGAGGCCAAGUUCCAUCCUGACAGCUGUGAAUACACCUGAGGAAGCUGUCUCCUCGGUUUUCUGAAGCAUCGCUAAGGGAACCAGAGGAAAGCACCCCCUGCUCAACAGAGCUCCGGGGAUGUUGACAUUCACAGCUUCAGCUCUUUAUCAGGCGAGGUCAAAAGAUCACCUGUCUGGUCCGUCCUUGAAUAUCCUCCAGUGUGCGGGGUUGGACUGUAAUGAAGUCUGCAGGAGAGGAGCUGGCCCUCAGAUGCUACAUGUCAGUGUGUGUGGGAAACACCUGAACUCUGCCACUACAGAUCAGAGAGAUGAGCUGCAAUCUCAUGCAAUAGACUGUGCGCAUUCCUGGGCUUUGGCUAUGACCAUGCAGGUCUGUUGUCUCAUACUUCAUUGUUCAUGUGGACAAGUAGUGGGAAAGCACCACUCACAAUUGUUUCCCUUCCUCCAUUCUUGGGUCUUAGAUUUUAGUGCAACACUUCACAUCUGAUCUUCUAGGCCCACUGUCCUAACUUUACUUCAACAUGCAUGUCUCUAUUAUCCCUACACCAUGUGUGUGUGUGUGUGUGUGUGUGUGUAUGUGUGUGUGUGUGUGUGUGUGUGUGUGUGUGUGUGUGUGUGUGUGUACAGUUUGCAUACAAGUUUAGGGAAACAUUGCUACUGAAAUCCUAUAGGAGUCUAUGUAAAAUAUCUGUAAGCUGUGGAUGGGGCAGAAUCCAAAUGUUCUCCCACGAUGUGGCCUUCUAGAAAGAGUAGCAUAAAUUACAGUAAAAGAACACACUUGAAAGUAAGACUUGGAGGAAAUGCCCUGGUGUAUCCACAUUACCACUGUGAACUGUGACAUUGCUCUCUUGGCCUCUGGGGCCAGACAGGAGGGCUCUGAAUCCAAGCUGCAUCCUGUGGAGCUGUGCAUAAGCUUGAGGCAGCUGUCAACUGGAUCAAAUGAAGCUUGUGAAUGGAGUGAGAAGACAGUAGCAGGACAUUAUGACACUGCCCUCCCAAUGGAGACAUGGAAGUGUUGACAAUCACAGUGGGUGAGUGAGUCUCAAGCCUGAACUUUGCGAGCCAGUUAGGCAAAGUUUAACCUGUCAGUCACGUCCUGCAUGUCCACCACAGGCCAAGGGCGGGCUCAGAUGAAGCUCUGUUGCAGACAGGAGCUGUCCCUUGUGAGCUGCAUCUCAGGGAAUGCGGAAGACCAUUCAGCCUCUUGUGAUAUGGGAGAUCAGAGUAGUAAGAGGCAGACAGAGGGGACAGUUCUGUGUUUGUUUUUCUGGGCUACCAUAACUACAUCUUCCAGGCUAAGGAUUUGCUCAUGGAAGUCUGGUGUCUCACUUUUGUAAAGGCCAAGCUGUCUGAAGUCUCAAUAACACAACUGGCUCCAGGCUUCUUCCUUAGUCACUGGGAUUUACAGGCCGUCCUUCACACCUUGUCUUCUAGAUCCACACAUGCUUUUCUGGCUUCAUGUGUACAAGACAUAUUUUCUCAUUCUCUCUCUCUCUCUCUCUCUCUCUCUCUCUCUCUCUCUCUCUCUCUCUCUUCCUGUUUCCCACAAUAGUCUUUACUAAGUAAGAUACAUUUCAUACCAGUUUGUGCAAUGCUUCUCUCAUAAAGUCCAGUGUGAUCUCAACUUGCUGUUCUCUAGAGAACCCCAAUUAGGAAUAGAGCUGACAUCCAAUUCUGCUAGACCAGGACUUCAACACCUGAGAAGAUGCAAAUCAUUCAACAGCUCUCGUCAAGCCUAGGGUACAAGGAGCAUGUAUGGAAGGAAAAGUUUCAGAGAUCCGAGAAAUUGCAUGCCAGGCUGACCAUGGGCUGGCUUCUCUUUGCAGAGACGGUCAGCGUGAGAGGAAAGGUGAAAUGGGGCUUUAAUAAACCUGUAUGGUUUAAGAAUACUAAGUCUCUCCCCUUACUUUCCCCUUCCCUGCCUGUGUGUUCCUAAUGGAUGUUGUACGUAAAUGUAGCAGUGUCAGCCUUUCAAGAGCAUGGAAGUUGUCACAUGUGGCACCCAACAGAAGAACUUGACCUUUGUCCCCUUCUUUGUAUGUGUGUGUGUGUGUGUGUGUGUGUGUGUGCGUGUGUGUGUGUGUGUGUGCGCGCGCGCGCGCAUGUGUGUUUGUGUGUGUCUAUGUGUCUCCCUGUAUGUCUGUAUUUCUGUCUUUGUCUCUGUCUGUUUCCUCCACACGAUAGCCCAGGAUGACCUCUUAAUUGCUCAUUCCAAGUUUGACCCAUCAUGCUUUCUGUGAGUGUUUGCUUUUGAUGUCUUAAGUCCCACCCGUGUUGACCAGUGCUCAGGUGUCUGAAGCCAGACCUGUGAACAGAGGACCACAUCACUCAGUAACAUCCUCCUGGAUAAAAUAAGUUUGUGAGCCUCUGAAGGAAGAUUUUAUCAGAAUUUAUGUAAUUUUUUUGUUUUUCACUCCCCUACCCAAGCUGUACUACUCUGUGGAUCUUCCCCAAGUCUAUCAAGAAGAAUCCCUUAGGGCCACAGAGAUUGAUCUAGGAACUCCCACACAAUUCUAAGACCAUGGCCAGGAGGGACAAGAAAUCACUUGUCUUGGAAACAUCCAAUAAUAUGAUGGUGUGGAGCUAUGGGGAGUGUUACUAGAUAAGGAGAAAUCACCUAAAAAGCACAUACAUGUAUACAAGAUGCUAUUCAAAAAUUAUCCAGAGGUACUGUGGCAACCUACAUUCAGCUCAAAGAGAUUGAUUCUCCACCUCAUAGAUUCUGAUCAGAUCCCUUGAGUAUAAAGAAAACUAUAUGGGAACUCACUUUCUUAUCACAUGACAGUACAACUAGGUAGUCACAGCAAACAGGACAUUCAGGAAGCAUGGCCUGAUCUUGCCAACAGUGAAGUGAGUACAUGUAGCUGAUGAGGUCUGGCAUGACCCUCAAAUGUUUAAAAUACCAAGAUUGACAUUAGAUUUUAGUUUACUGAAUAAUCAAUAAUUUCUGAGGUUUGGAACAAAAUCAGAAUCUAAAGACUCCAAAAAUUAUUUACCAUGAAGCUCUGAAUUCCAAUGGAGAGAUUAAUGGUAGAUAGUAUGAGUUUAACCUGUGACCCAGAGGUAUAAGGAAAUGGUGUAAUUUGGGGUCAUUGGAUAAGUUAAAGAAGCAAGCAAAACAAAAGAGUUUGUGUUGUCUUUGAGCAGGUUUGCCCCUCAAACUUUUAGCAGGAGUUACCCUGGAAUGAUACAUAGACACCCACACACAUCCUACAAAUAAUUGUCUUGGUCUCUUGCCUGGGGCAUACAGGCUUUAUCCAAGAUAUGGAGUGUUUACCCCAAGACUAAGUUAAACCCAAUUUCAAUGAGAGAAUUCAGAAUUCCUCUUCCUUUCUUGAGAAAGCAUUCUGUGCCUGAGUAAUGCUUGAAAAGACUUGAAAACAGUAACAACUGAAUCCCACUUUUAAAGCAGCUUUUCAGAGAUGUCUAGCGGCUCAAUUUUGAUUUUAUGGACCUGCAGUUGCUCAGUUCUCAUGAUCACAGGAUUGGACCCGGUCAUUACUAGAUAUAACUGUGUAGGGACAGUAAGAGCUUUGACAAUUCUUCAAGCUGAAAAAUCUAAGAAAUCAUACUGGCAACAGCUUAAUGCAAAGGCAGAAACUUGUGAGUGGAUAAUGUUCAGCACCUAAGACUGAGCAGCGGGUUGGGAGCCAAGGAGAAACAGUGUAUCUAAAGGAGCAGUGCUGGGUGCAGGACUUGUUACUAAAAUGAUGAAAGCUAAGGGCUUCAGGAAAUAUGCAUCAGGAAGACUCUGAAUGGUGGAAAUUAUGCAUAAAUUUAUUGGUGCACAUUGAGAGGAUGAACGUUUUCCAAUGUUUAUCUCCUUAGGAGUGAAAAUAUUUGAGCUGAGUAAAUGCUGUAGCCCAGGUAGGAAAGGGAAGUGGGUUUCCAUACAGACAUUGGAAUUCCCCUCAUGCUGAACAUGAACAUGGGAGGGCUUCAGAGAAGUGUUCAGGCACAUUCAGAGCUGCUGGGCAUCCAGGAGGAGUCUCAGAGUGUAAAUUGGUGCUUGUCCUGAGGAAUCUUCAAAAAUAUUAGUGUAGAUCAGUGAGGAGAAUUUCAAAGACUAGAAACAAAAUCCUGUACAUGCCUCAUCUUAGCCUUGGAAGGCCUUGACCUACAAAGGCCCCAAAGAGGCAUAGCUUGCAUCAUCUUUAAUAGGGUAUAGCAAUUGGUGACUGACAGCCUUUCCACUAUGUUUCCAAGGCCAGCCACAGGCUGUAGGACUGUGGUGCCAAAUCUUCAGCAGAGAAGGCUGCUUAGCUAAAUUAUUGUGUUUGGUUUUUGGUUUGAGUUCUGUUUGCUUCAGGGGUUGGUUUUGUUUGAUUUCGCUUGAAGUUUUGUUAUUUAUUCUUCAUUUUUGUUCUUGUAAUGGAUUUGCAGUUCUGCCAAGGUCAUACAUUUUACAGUUUGACGUUAUCCUUUAAGACCCUUUUGGAAAAAAUUAAUUAAUAAAUUCUUUAAGGAUAAAAUGUGUUUUCAACUCUUAAGAAACUUGAUUUUUUUGAGUGUCUGGUUUGGUGGCGGAAGCAGUGGCUGGCUGUUUGAAUCUGUCAGUGGAAGGCGCGCUGGCUCUGUUGUCUGAGUGUGAUUCGGUGGCUUGGUUCCAGGCAUUCUGGUGACUUCCCCGGAGCAGUCUACAGGAGCCACAGCGGCCGCCCGUGCUCUCUGUUCAGUCCCCAUGCCCGAGAAAGACCGAGCCCAUGUCAUGCCCCUCCGCCCCCAUUGAGUCCCUUAUCUGUCGUCGCGCCUGAAUUGAGUUCCCAGAAUCAGACGGUGCCCCAUAGAUGGCCAGCUUUCCCCCAAGGGACAACGAGAAAGAGAUCGUGAGGUCGCGCACUAUAGAAGAACUUUCAACUCCAGCAGCCCCUUUCGACAGGAAAUGUGGUGGUGAAAACUGGACUGUUGCUUUUGCUCCAGAUGGUUCAUACUUUGCAUGGUCACUAGGAUUUCAUAUAGUGAAGCUUGUCCUGUGGUCCCGGUGCCUUAAGAACUUUCUUUUGCAUGGUUCCAAGAAUGUUACCAAUUCAAGCUGUCUAAAAUUGGCAAGACAAAAUAGUAAUGGUGCUCAAAAAAAUAAGCCCCGUGAACACGUUAUAGACUGUGGAGACAUAGUCUGGAGUCUCGCUUUUGGGUCUUCAGUUCCAGAAAAACAGAGUCGUUGUGUUAAUAGAGAAUGGCAUCGGUUUUGAUUUGGACAGGAUCAGCUACUCCUUGCCACAGGAUUAAAUAAUGGUCGCAUCAAAAUCUGGGAUGUGUAUACAGGAAAACUCUUCCUUGAUUUGGCAGACCACAUUGAAGUGGUUAGAGACUUAACUUUCGCUCCAGGUGGGAGCUUACUCCUUUUAUCAGCUUCAAGAGACAAUAUUCUUAGAGUGUGGGACCUGAAAGGUGAUGGAAAUAUGAGUAUUGUGGGGCCAUCAGAAUUGGGUGUACAGUUGUGCGUUUUCUCCCGACUGUUCUACGCUGUGUUCAGUUGGAGCCAGUAAGGCAGUUUUCCUUUGGAAUAUGGAUAAAUACGCCAUGAUAAGGAGACUGGAAGGGCAUCACCAUGAUGUCGUAGCUUGUGACUUUUCUCCUGAUGGAACAUCACUAGCUCCUGCAUCUUACGAUACGCGUGUGUAUGUCUGGGACCCACCCAUUGGAGACAUUCUGAUGGAUUUGGGCACCUGUUUCCCCCGGCUACUGGAGGAGGAAACGACUGAUGGGUAAGAGCUGUGCCUCUCAGUCAUGAUGGACUGCACCUUGCCAGCCUUGCUGAUGAUAAAACGGUGAGCUUCUGGAGCAUUGGUGACGAUUGUCCAGUACAAGUUGCACCUUUGAGCAAUGGUCUCUGCUGUGCCUUUUCUACUGAUGGCAGGAUGUGCGUACGUGCUGUUUGUGGAAUUUUUGUUCUUUUUUUUAUUUGGGGCACUGAGUUUGCAUGACGCUAAAUAAAACAGAAUUUCCUCACAGGAAAUGGGGUGGGUCAGGAUGGAUGGUGUGAAGCUGACUGAUGAGAGGUUUAGUAUGUGAAAUUUUCCAAGAGAAUGGUUUGUGGGAGUUUGACUGUGACGUGUAAAAAAGAGCCAAGGAAAAAGAUAGCUAGAAAAGGGUUGGCUCUUGUAGGCCUUAAUUUUGGAAAGCAGCUACUUACCUACCCCUCAGAGAAUAAAAAAGUAUUAUGCAUUCUUGUCAAUUUGAAAACUACAUCUACUAUAUUAUUGCUUAAUAUUUUGUCAAUACUAAGGGACAAUUAUUUUAAGACCAUUGGUUUUAUUUUUAACCUAUUUUGUUUCUACAAGGAUGAUAUUGGUGACCUACCAAAGAGAAGCAAUACACAAUAUGUCUGCUUUAGCCUUCUUUUAUUUAUCUUAUCUGCAGAUGUUGAAAAUGUAUGCAUUGUGUAAAAUGCUUGUUUUGUAUCUUUGUUGAGUUUUUUUCAUUAAACAACAUAAAAGUUAAAAAAAAAACUUGAUUUUUUUUUUAUGUGUCGUUUCACAGUCCUGUAAUCCCAGAAACCAUAGGCAGAGAUAGAUCACUGAAACUUGCAGGGGCUUUGGAUUCAUAAUUUGUUCCCAUCCAGAGCUACACAUGUGGAUUGGACCUUCCAUGUGGCUGGUGUGGCCACUGUGGACACUAAUUUCCUGAUGGAAAAAGUACUCAUGCUGUAUCCUUGUGGUCAUUUAUUUAGCUACUCCUGAAAUAUAGUUCUCCAGGGAUGAUCGCAUAGAACACACUAAUGAGAAUCUCAACAGAAUUGCUCUGAUGAUUCUCAGGAAAUGGAAACAUUCACCAAUGGAGUAAAAAUAGAAAUCAGGAAAACCAGAGCUGUCUGUGUCUGGUUUCUUGAAAUAUAGUCUCAGAGAAAAGCACAUAGGACCAUGUUUUUAAAAACCGUUUUUACAUUUAUUUUUAUUGCCCUUGAAUAUGUAUUUUGUGCCUAUUUUGGAUGGUUGUUUGGUUUGGUUUAUUAUCAUUAUCAUUAUUAUUGCUAUUAUUUCUUUUAUACAUAAGUGUUUUGUCUGCUCUAAGUACUGUGCACCAAAUACAUGCAAUUCCCACAUAGGCCAGUAGGGGGCAGUGAACUCCACCUGGAACUGAGUUACCCUUUUGGUUCUAUGUUAAACAAAUGCCCAAAAUGGAUGAGCUGUCUCUCCAGCUCCUGCACUUGAAAGUUAUCCUUCUUUUUGUACUGUAUUAGUUCUCAAUCAAAGAGAGAAGUUUCUUGAGACCUGUAGGAACACAUAUAUAGGGUUAGGCAUGCUUAUUGUCUAAACUGCCAGGCAUCCAUGUAGGGCAUUAGUGGAUACAGCAUCAUAUCUCAGCAUCUCUUAUUGUAAGGUCAGAGCAGAACUCUCACAUCUCAUCCUGGGUGACAAUGUAGAUUGGACCCAUCAGACGAAAUGAAGAAUUGAAAAACUCUCCUGGGGGUGAAAUUGAUAAGGAUAUCAUGUUGAUGUAUCAUAAAUGCAGUGCUAAGAACAAGCUUCAGACAGCCUGGGGGGAUGCAGCCUGCAGCAGAGACCACAGCUCUUUGGUGGAGAAUGAUUCAGUUCAAAACUGGGAAGGGAGAAGGAUAGUUGAUAUUGUUCCAGUAGAUCUCACAGCAUAUAAAAAGUUUCUUCCACAUCAGUGAAUGAUUCUUGUAAAGCAGCUCCGGGAAUGGACUUCUGAGACCAAACAUGAGCCCCAAGAAUUAAUGUGUGGAAGAAGUAAUCCUGUGGGUCUCCAGACUGAUGCUUUCAAACCAACAGACAAAAGUAUCCACUCUAGAAUGAUACACAGAUAUAUACGCAGAAUACCAGGAUGGAUACAGAGUUUCUUCAGUUCCAUGAACGAGGAGAUCAGCAGGUGAGUCCGCUCACUAAGUAAAGGUAAUCGUUGCCGACUCUACACACCUGAGCUCCUUCUCUAGAACCCACAUGAUUGAAGAAAAGUACAAACCUCCCACAACUUGUCCUCAGAUUUUUAUGUAGUUGGGGUUUCCCAGUCUUGGUCCACAGAAGCCAAAACAUCUGGUUUUCCAAUUCUUGUUUAUCCUAUAGUCCUUCUCUCUGAUGCACUCAUGCAAAUAUUUUACCGUGCAUUUCAUUGAUAGAUUACUAUUGCUAUUUUAAUUCUGUUGCCAAGAACUAUAGAAAAUAAGAAGGUUUAUAUCAAAACAUCAUAUGAAAAUCAUGCUAAGGGAAUGUGUCCAUUGGGAAUUUGUAACUGAGCUGAAACUCUUAUUAGACACAAACUGCUCUGAAAGGUCUUCUCUACAUACCUGGUGUAGAAGUGAGUGUUCCCUAACAGAACUUAAAGGAUGAAACUCUCUGUACAGAGAAAAGGGAUUUGUCACAAUGAUUACAGGCUAUGGACCAGCUAAUUCAACAAUGGCUGACUUUAUGUAAAGUCCAAGAAUCUGGUAGUUGAUCAGUCCACAAGACUAGAUGUCUCAGCCUGCAGCAGAGACCACAGAUCUUUGGUGGAGAGUGAUUCAGUUCAAAACUGGGAAGGGAGAAGGAUGGUUGAUAUUGUUCCAGUAGAUCUCACAGCAUAUAAAAAGAGUUUCUUCCACAUCAGUGAAUGAUGAUACUAGAUGACCAUCAGUAUAUGGUCAAAUACUCAGUAAGCAGGCUCUAAUGUCUGUGAGGGAAAGGAUUUGGUAGCAAUUUGUGUGCAAGCAGGAAAAAGUAAAAGCUUCUUUCUUCCAUGUUUUUAUAUGGGCUUCGAGUAGAAUGCAUGGCUAAGAAUGGAUCGGGAUUGCUGUUUUACACCAGACCAGUACCAUCAACUGAAUGUUCCUUCCUGGAAAGCUGCAGCCUGUCAGCAUGGCUCAGGAGUUUGUGAACUGCAAGAUCCCAUCUGGGAAGGUGGUCGUGUUCAUCAAACCCACUGCUCCUAUUACAGAAAGACCCAAGAAAUCCUUAGUCAACUCCCUUUCAAACAUGGUCUUCUUGAAUUUGUGAACAUCACAGCCACUAACAAAACCAACGCAAUUCUAGAUUAUUUACAACAGCUCACCAGAGUGAGAACAGUUCCUCAGG